ACACGUAGGUGGCGAGCGUUGUUCGGAUUUAUUGGGCGUAAAGGGCGCGUAGGCGGAGGCUCAAGCUUGGUGUAAAAUACCCCGGCUCAACUGGGGAGAUGCGCUGAGAACUGAGCCACUAGAGUCCAGGAGGGGGAGUCGGAAUUCCAGGUGUAGGGGUGAAAUCUGUAGAUAUCUGGAAGAACACCGGUGGCGAAGGCGGGCUCCUGGCCAUGGACUGACGCUGAGGCGCGAAAGUGUGGGGAGCGAACAGGAUUAGAUACCCUGGUAGUCCACACCGUAAACGAUGUACACUAGGUGUCCGGGAGAAAUCCUGGGUACCGGAGCCAACGCAUUAAGUGUACCGCCUGGGGAGUAUGCCCGCAAGGGUGAAACUCAAAUGAAUUGACGGGG
rnacentral:rRNA from 1 species